rnacentral:rRNA from 1 species
GACGAACGCUGGCGGCGUGCUUAACACAUGCAAGUCGAACGGAAAGGCCCUGCUUUUGUGGGGUGCUCGAGUGGCGAACGGGUGAGUAACACGUGAGUAACCUGCCCUUGACUUUGGGAUAACUUCAGGAAACUGGGGCUCAUACCGGAUAGGAGCUCCUGCUGCAUGGUGGGGGUUGGAAAGUUUCGGCGGUUGGGGAUCGACUCGCGGCUUAUCAGCUUGUUGGUGAGGUAGUGGCUUACCAAGGCUUUGACGGGUAGCCGGCCUGAGAGGGUGACCGGCGACAUUGGGACUGAGAUACGGACCAGACGCGUACGGGAGGCAGCAGUGGGAAAUAUGGCGGAAUGGGCGGAAGCCUGAGACAGCAACGCCGCGUGCGGGAUAACGGCCUUCGGGUUGUAAACCGCUUUCGCCUGUGACGAAGAGGGAGUGACGGUAAUGGGUAAAGAAGCACCGGCUAACUACGUG